rnacentral:rRNA from 1 species
ACAUGGCACUGAGCGUACUCCUAUUCAGUGUCGUACCUGCCCGGUGGAAUAUUCUAAACGGCUGCGGUACCCUGACCGUGCAAAGGUAGCAUAAUCAUUUGCCUUUUAAUUGGUGGCUAGUAUGAAAGGUUUGACAGUGCCCCGACUGUCUCUACACUAUUUUUAUCUAAUUUGACCUUUAGGUGAAGAGGCCUAAAUAGAAUAGAAGGACGAGAAGACCCUAUGGAGCUAGGAGCGACAUACUGCUAUAGUAUUAACUUAUUGAUUGGGGCGAUCAGGGAGGACAAAAACCCUCCCGCUAAAUUACAGUAUUACAAGAACCAAAUUAUUUAUAAUGAAUUAGGGAUAGCUACCCUAGGGAUAACAGCACAAUUUUUUUUGAGAGACCUUAUUGAAAAAAAAGAUUAUGACCUCGAUGUUGGACUAAAGUCGCUGGAAGGUGUAGCAGCUUUCCAAAGAGAGCCUGUUCGGCUAUUAAACCUUUAC